CAGUCGCCACGGUAAUACGAAGGGGGCUAGCGUUGUUCGGAUUAACUGGGCGUAAAGGGCGCGUAGGCGGGUUUUUAAGUCAGAGGUGAAAUCCCAAGGCUCAACCUUGGAACUGCCUUUGAUACUAGAAGUCUUGAGUCCGGGAGAGGUGAGUGGAACUGCGAGUGUAGAGGUGAAAUUCGUAGAUAUUGGGAAGAACACGGGUGGCGAAGGCGGCGACCUGGUCCUUGACUGACGCUGAGGCGCGAAAGCGUGGGGAGCAAACAGGAUUAGAUACCCGCGUAGUCCCUGUCUCUUAUAC
rnacentral:rRNA from 1 species